rnacentral:rRNA from 1 species
UACGGAGGGUGCAAGCGUUACUCGGAAUCACUGGGCGUAAAGGACACGUAGGCGGGUUAUCAAGUCAGGUGUGAAAUCCUACAGCUUAACUGUAGAACUGCACUUGAAACUGGUAACCUAGAGUAUGGGAGGGGGAGAUGGAAUUAGUGGUGUAGGGGUAAAAUCCGUAGAUAUCACUAGGAAUACCGAAAGCGAAGGCGAUCUCCUGGAACAUAACUGACGCUAAGGUGUGAAAGCGUGGGGAGCAAACGGG